GAUGAAGAACGUAGCGAAAUGCGAUACUUGGUGUGAAUUGCAGAAUCCCGUGAACCAUCGAGUCUUUAAACGCAAGUUGCGCCCGAAGCCGUUAGGCCGAGGGCACGUCUGCCUGGGCGUCUCGUAUCGCGUCGCCCCUUCCACUUGUUCCACGAGCGGGUGCUAGGGGCGGAAAUUGGCCUCCCGUGCGCUUUCGUGCGCGGCCGGCCUAAAUGCGAACCCGCGGCGAUGCUCGUCACGACCAGUGGUGGUUGGACUCUCAACUCGCGUGCUGUUGUGACAUUGUCGUCCGUUUGGGAACUAACAAUGACCCAAAGGUGCUCUUGCAUGCGGUUUUCCGCAUGGGAGACGUACUUUCGACCGCGACCCCAGGUCAGACGGGAUUACCCGCUGAGUUUAAGCAUAUCAAUAAGCGGAGGA
rnacentral:misc_RNA from 1 species